CCUACGGGAUGCAGCAGUGAGGAAUAUUGGUCAAUGGGCGCGACCCUGAACCAGCCAAGUCGCGUGCAGGAUGACGGCCCUACGGGUUGUAAACUUCUUUUAUGCAGGGAUAAAGUGAGGCACGUGUGCCUUAUUGUAUGUACUUUAUGAAUAAGGAUCGGCUAACUCCGUGCCAGCAGCCGCGGUAAUACGGAGGAUCCGAGCGUUCUCCGGAUUUAUUGGGUUUAAAGGGAGCUCAGGUGGGUUGUUAAGUGAGUUGUGAAAGCCUGCGGCUCAACCGUAAAAUUGCAACGGAUACUGGGCGGCUUGAGUACAGGUGAGGUAGGCGGAAUUCGUGGUGUAGCGGUGAAAUGCUUAGAUAUCACGAAGAACUCCGAUUGCGAAGGCAGCCUACCAUACUGCUACUGACACUGAGGCUCGAAAGUGCGGGUAUCAAACAGGAUUAGAUACCCGGGUAGUC
rnacentral:rRNA from 1 species